rnacentral:rRNA from 1 species
ACGGCUCAGUAACACGUGGAUAACCUGCCCUAUGCUCUGGGAUAACCUCGGGAAACUGAGAAUAAUACCGGAUAGAUCACAACGCCUGGAACGGUGUGUGGUUGAAAGGUUACGGCAUAGGAUGGGUCUGCGGCGUAUCAGGUUGUAGGGGGUGUAAUGGACCCCCUAGCCAUCGACGCGUACGGGUGUUGGGAGACAUAGCCCGGAGACGGAUUCUGAGACACGAAUCCGGACCCUACGGGGUGCAGCAGGCGCGAAAACUUCACACUGCAGGAAACUGUGAUGAGGGAACUCCAAGUGGAUGCACAUAGUGUAUCUCUUUUCUUUACUAUUAAUCGGUAUUGGAAUAAGGGCUGGGAAAGACCGGUGCCAGCCGCCGCGGUAAUACCGGCAGCUCGAGUGGUCGUCGCUUUUAUUGGGCCUAAAACGUCCGUAGCCUGUUUGGUAAAUCUGCGGGUAAAUCAACCAGCUUAACUGGUUGAAUUCUGCAGAGACUGCCAGACUAGGGACCGGGAGAGGUGUGGGGUACUCUAGGGGUAGGGGUAAAAUCCUGUCAUCCUUAGAGGACCACCAGUUGCGAAGGCGCCACACUGGAACGGAUCCGACGGUCAGGGACGAAGCCUAGGGGCACGAACCGGAUUAGAUACCCGGGUAGUCCUAGGUGUAAACGCUGUGAACUUGGUGUCGGGAGUCCGCAAUGGGCCCCCGGUGCCGGAGUGAAGAUGUUAAGUUCACUGCCUGGGGAGUACGGUCGCAAGGCUGAAACUUAAAGGAAUUGGCGGGGGAGCAC